AUGCCGGCCAUGCAAGUGCCGGAGCAGAGCACCGGAGUUACCGUGAACCUGCCUAUGGGCUCGGGCUGCGCUUCGUCGCCGCCCACCUCCCCGCAGCCGCGCCACGGGAGGCUGGUCACCGUGCUGAGCAUCGACGGCGGCGGCGUGCGAGGGAUCAUCCCCGGCACCAUCCUCGCGUUCCUCGAACAAAAGCUUCAGGAGUUUGAUGGGCCGGACGCGAGGAUCGCAGAUUACUUCGACGUGGUCGCCGGGACGAGCACCGGAGGCCUGGUGGCCGCUAUGCUCACCGCGCCCAACGACCAGGGCCGCCCGCUCUUCGCCGCCAAGGACGUCAACAAGUUCUACCUCGAGCACUGCCCGAAUAUCUUCCCUGCCGCGUGCAAAGGACCUCUGGGCUUGUUCAAGAGCAUGAUGGGACCCAAGUACAACGGCCAGCACCUGCACUCGGUCGUGAAGGAGCUGCUCGGCAACACGCGAGUCAGUCAGACACUCAAGAGCAUCGUCAUCCCCACUUUCGACAUCAAGCUCCUUCAGCCUACGAUCUUCUCGACCUACGAUGCCAUGAGGGAUGUCACCAAGGAUGCUCUUCUAUCGGAUGUCUGCAUUAGUACGUCUGCCGCGCCCACCUACCUCCCCGGGCACCAUUUUGAGACCAAGGACAAAGACGGUAAGACCCGGGCCUUCAACCUCAUCGACGGAGGCGUCGCCGCUAACAAUCCGACCCUUGUGGCGAUGACCCAUGUAAGCAAGCAGAUCCUGAUGAAAAACAUGAACUUCUUUCCCGUCAAGCCGGCGGAGUAUGGCAAGUUCAUGGUCCUUUCGCUGGGCACCGGCACCGCCAAGGUCGAAGAGAAGUUCGAUGCUGCCAUGUGCAGCAAGUGGGGCCUUCUCGGGUGGCUCUACAAGGGGGGCACCACGCCGAUUAUCGACAGCUUCAGCCAAGCCAACGCUGAUCUCGUCGAUAUCCAGGCAUCCGUGCUCUUCCAGGCGCUGCACUGUGACCGCGACAGGCGCUACCUCCGGAUCCAGGACGAUGAGCUCACAGGCGAAACGGCCUCCGUCGACGUGUCCACGACGGAGAACCUCAAAAGGCUCAUCGAUGUCGGCAAGGCAUUGCUGAAGAGGCAGGUGUGCAAGGUGAACAUUGAGACAGGCAAGAACGAGCCUGACCUAGAGAGGGGCACCAACGAGGAGGAACUGACCCAUUUUGCACGCAAGCUGUCGGAAGAGCACAAAGCUAGAUUGUCUUGCGGUGGUGGGUCUCGAAACUUAGAUAUUACUCUAUGA
rnacentral:rRNA from 1 species